AGGCAACUUUGAAAGUAAUAUCGAUCCUGGAAUUAAUCUGCCAGAGCUUAACCAGGGGAACUUCCAAAAUGUCGACCCUGGAUUCUAUCGGCCUGGAAUAAACCAGGCUCCCGAUCCAAGUGUCUAUUAUAGACGUAAGUAGAUUUGUUCUACUUAUGCGCAUCACAAAUAUAAAAAAGCGGACCCUUACUUACGCGGAGGACGCUAAACAAGCAGAAAAGAAAAUAAAAUUAAAUAUAUUGUAAUUUUUAACAGUUUUAUACGUAAAUUUUCUUACAAAUGUAAACUUAAUAAAGUAGUUCUGAUUGUA